UGAGGAAUAUUGCACAAUGGGGGGAACCCUGAUGCAGCAACGCCGCGUGGAGGAUGAAGGUUUUUGGAUUGUAAACUCCUUUUCUGUGGGAAGAGAAAGGACGGUACCACAGGAAUAAGUCACGGCUAACUACGUGCCAGCAGCCGCGGUAACACGUAGGUGGCAAGCGUUAUCCGGAAUUACUGGGCGUAAAGGGCACGCAGGCGGCGAGGCAAGUCUGAUGUGAAAGCUCCUGGCUUAACUGGGAGAGGUCAUUGGAAACUGCUUGGCUUGAGGAAAUGAGAGGAGUGCGGAAUUCCGGGUGUAGUGGUGGAAUGCUUAGAUAUCCGGGGGAACACCAGUGGCGAAGGCGGCACUCUGGCAUUAUCCUGACGCUGAUGUGCGAAAGCGUGGGGAGCGAACGGGAUUAGAUACCCCCGUAGUCC
rnacentral:rRNA from 1 species